rnacentral:rRNA from 1 species
UACAGAGGGUGCAAGCGUUGUUCGGAAUCAUUGGGCGUAAAGGGCGUGUAGGCGGUUUGUUAAGUCAUGUGUGAAAUCCCUCGGCUCAACCGGGGAACGACGCAUGAAACUGGCAAGCUAGAGUACCAAAGAGGGUGGUGGAAUUCCCGGUGUAGCGGUGAAAUGCGCAGAUAUCAGGAGGAACACCGGUGGCGAAGGCGGGGUCUCUGGGCAGUAACUGACGCUGAGGAGCGAAAAGCGUGGGGGAGCGAACAGG